CAGGUUGAUAGGUCUGAGGUGGAAGUGUGGCGACACAUGGAGCUGACAGAUACUAAUCGAUCGAGGACUUAACCAUAUUU
rnacentral:rRNA from 1 species